UACGGAGGAUGCAAGCGUUAUCCGGAAUUAUUGGGCGUAAAGCGUCCGUAGGCGGCACUUCAAGUCUGCUGUCAAAGACCGGGGCUCAACUCUGGAGAGGCAGUGGAAACUGAAGCGCUAGAGUGUCGUAGGGGUAGAGGGAAUUCCUGGUGUAGCGGUGAAAUGCGUAGAGAUCAGGAAGAACAUCGGUGGCGAAGGCGGUCUACUGGACGACAACUGACGCUCAGGGACGAAAGCUAGGGGAGCGAAUGGG
rnacentral:rRNA from 1 species